GAACCAGUGCUGUAGAAACUCCACACAGUUAAGCAGUGUGUCUGCUUACUGUCUGUUAUAUAACUUUAGACCCAAGGAUAAUGCUUGACAGAGUCAGUAUUCAAAAAUCUGUCCAAGGUGCCUUUGUUUGGUGCUCUCCGACGAGGAGUGUUUGAGCAAUAUAUGCACAAGGUUUCUUCUAACAGCUGCCAAAACUUGAAUUGGAGAUGCUAGAGAGGAAGAUGUAGAAAAUGGGCAAAAUAUCAGCCUGAUACCAUGAGGAUGAAUGAGAGAGAGCUUACCCUUGCCUCUCCACAACUAUGGCAGCUUGGUGGUUUUGGACCCAGUCUGAAAAUGUAGAAACUGAGCUGAUUUCUGUUGAGCAUUUCUCAAAGUAUGACAUAUGCGGCAGCACUUGAGAUGAUUUUAGGGUGUGUGGACAAACUUUGUUAUCAUGUCAAUUAUAGAUAUAUCUAAUGACCAUAGAAAAUGUGAUUUGUCCCUUAAAUCUCUGCCAUCUGCCUUGUAUAUUGUUUUUUUUCCAGAAUGAAGCCAAGUAAAAACAGUGAGACUGAAUAAUUGUAC
ensembl:lincRNA 4930405D11Rik RIKEN cDNA 4930405D11 gene